rnacentral:rRNA from 1 species
UACGUAGGGUCCGAGCGUUGUCCGGAAUUAUUGGGCGUAAAGGGCUCGUAGGCGGUUCGUCACGUCGGGAGUGAAAACUCGGGGCUUAACCCCGAGCCUGCUUCCGAUACGGGCAGACUAGAGGUAGGCAGGGGAGAGCGGAACUCCUGGUGUAGCGGUGAAAUGCGCAGAUAUCAGGAGGAACACCGGUGGCGAAGGCGGUUCUCUGGGCAUGUCCUGACGCUGAGGAGCGAAAGUGUGGGGAGCGAACAGG